rnacentral:rRNA from 1 species
AAUGGGAUUAAGAGCUUGCUCUUAUAGAAGUUAGCGGCGGCCGGUUGAGUAAAACGUGGGUAACCUGCCCAUAAUACUGGGAUUACUCCGGGAAACCGGGGCUAAUACCGGAUAACAUUUUGAACCGGAUGGUUCGAAUUUGAAAGGCGGCUUCGGCUGUCACUUAUGGAUGGACCCGCGUCGCAUUAGCUAGUUGGUGAGGUAACGGCUCACCAAGGCAACGAUGCGUAGCCGACCUGAGAGGGUGAUCGGCCACACUGGGACUGAGACACGGCCCAGACUCCUACGGGAGGCAGCAGUAGGGAAUCUUCCGCAAUGGACGAAAGUCUGACGGAGCAACGCCGCGUGAGUGAUGAAGGCUUUCGGGUCGUAAAACUCUGUUGUUAGGGAAGAACAAGUGCUAGUUGAAUAAGCUGGCACCUUGACGGUACCUAACCAGAAAGCCACGGCUAACUACGUGCCAGCAGCCGCGGUAAUACGUAGGUGGCAAGCGUUAUCCGGAAUUAUUGGGCGUAAAGCGCGCGCAGGUGGUUUCUUAAGUCUGAUGUGAAAGCCCACGGCUCAACCGUGGAGGGUCAUUGGAAACUGGGAGACUUGAGUGCAGAAGAGGAAAGUGGAAUUCCAUGUGUAGCGGUGAAAUGCGUAGAGAUAUGGAGGAACACCAGUGGCGAAGGCGACUUUCUGGUCUGUAACUGACACUGAGGCGCG